rnacentral:rRNA from 1 species
UACGUAGGUGGCAAGCGUUGUCCGGAUUUAUUGGGUUUAAAGGGUGCGUAGGCGGCCUUGUAAGUCAGUGCUGAAAUAUCCCGGCUUAACCGGGAGGGUGGCAUUGAUACUGCAGGGCUUGAGUAAAGUUGAGGUUGGCGGAAUUGACGGUGUAGCGGUGAAAUGCUUAGAUAUCGUCAAGAACACCGAUAGUGAAGACAGCUAACUAAGCUUUAACUGACGCUGAGGCACGAAAGUGUGGGGAGCGAACAGG